rnacentral:lncRNA from 1 species
GCAGGUGCCACAUUUCUUCUUCUGGGUCUUUGGUUGGAUGAUGUACCAGUAACAUUUUCAGAAGACAUGUGUGUGGUGUGUGGGUUUGGCAGGUGCCACAUUUCUUCUUCUGGGUCUUUGGUUGGAUGAUGUACCAGUAACAUUUUCAGAAGACAUGUGUGUGGUGUGUGGGUGUAUGUCAGUAGCGGGAGCAACUUGCUCCUGAAUAUAAUCCUCAUCAAUGUCCCCACCAACAGCUACAUUCUCAGGAAUGUGCGCGGGGACCUG